rnacentral:RNase_P_RNA from 3 species
GAGAGGGAGAGAGCGGCUGACGGUGACAGAAAUGUUGCUGAGGAAAGUCCCCCCACCCACCGGGCACGCAGCCGUACGCAAGUACGGGUGGCGAGAGUCACGGCAAUGGCACAGAAACGACACGGCCUGCCAACAGUCAUGAUGCGGUUGAGCCUUACGGCGAGAAGCAUGGUCUCCAUGCGAGUAACCCGCUGAGCGAUCACGGGCAGGAAACGGUGAAACGGCGAAUCCCUGCGGGUGCAAGUCAGAACAGGACAGAUGGAUCGUCCGGUAUCCGUCCGGGUAUGACGCAGAGCUAAAUGCCGCUUGAAACAAAAGGAGGCUUACUCCUCCCACUC